rnacentral:sRNA from 1 species
AAUCAAAAGGCCAUGGGUAGGAGGCUUGCAGGUGUGACUUUAGGAUCAUGGCUUCUCCCCACGAUUUUUUGGGGGUCGAGGGAAGCAGAGCAUGGUGCUCCAAUCCCAGAACCCAGCUGUCCUCAAGCUCAGAGGACCAGGUCCUGGCCUGGCUGCUGCUGGGACUCCUCCCUAUGGGCAUCCCUGCACGUCCUGUGUGUCCCUGAGGAGGGACAUGGGGAACUCAGGGGCCACCUCUCCUCCAACUGUGGGGCCAGAGCAGAGAGCCUCUGCACACCACCAGCCUGUCCUCCCCAUGCCCCAGGAGUUCAUCCUUUGCUGCCUGGCCCGGGACCCUGCCCACCGGCCUUCUGCCCACAGCCUCCUCUUCCACCGCGUGCUCUUCGAGGUGCACUCGCUGAAGCUCCUGGCAGCCCACUGCUUUAUCCAGCACCAGUACCUCAUGCCUGAGAAUGUGGUGGAGGAGAAGACCAAGGCCAUGGACCUGCACGCGGUCUUGGCGGAGCUUCCCCGGCCCCGCAGGCCCCCGCUGCAGUGGCGGUACUCGGAAGUCUCCUUCAUGGAACUGGACAAAUUCCUGGAGGAUGUCAGGUGAGAACUGAUGUAAGGUUGGGGGCCAGGCAGCUGUCAGGCCUGAACCCCCAGCCACCCUGGUGUGUCCCCAGGAAUGGGAUCUACCCACUGAUGAACUUUGCAGUUACUCGGCCCCUGGGGCUGCCCCGUGUGCUGGCCCCACCCCCAGAGGAGGUCCAAAAGGCCAAGACCCCGACGCCAGAGCCCUUUGACUCUGAGACCAGAAAGGUCAUCCAGAUGCAGUGCAACCUGGAGAGAAGCGAGGACAAGGCGCGCUGGCAUCUUACUCUGCUUCUGGUGCUGGAGGACCGGCUGCACCGGCAGCUGACCUACGACCUGCUCCCAAGUAGGCUGGGCAGGGGACCUGGGCGGCGGGCGGUGACCCCAGGCGGCGGGUGGCGCAUUGGCCUCAUGCCUCGCCUUACGCCGUUGCCGCAGCGGACAGCGCCCAGGACCUCGCCUCGGAGCUCGUGCACUACGGCUUCCUCCACGAGGACGACCGGAUGAAGCUGGCCGCCUUCCUGGAGAGCACCUUCCUCAAGUACCGUGGGACCCAGGCCUGA